GAUGAACGCUAGCGGCAGGCUUAACACAUGCAAGUCGAGGGGUAGAGGGGGCAACCCCUUGAGAGUGGCGAACGGGUGAGUAAUAUAUCGGAACGUGCCCAGUCGUGGGGAUAACGUAGCGAAAGUUACGCUAAUACCGCAUACGAUCUACGGAUGAAAGCGGGGGAUCGCAAGACCUCGCGCGAUUGGAGCGGCCGAUAUCAGAUUAGGUAGUUGGUGAGGUAAAGGCUCACCAAGCCGACGAUCUGUAGCUGGUCUGAGAGGACGACCAGCCACACUGGGACUGAGACACGGCCCAGACUCCUACGGGAGGCAGCAGUGGGGAAUUUUGGACAAUGGCGCAAGCCUGAUCCAGCAAUGCCGCGUGAGUGAAGAAGGACC
rnacentral:rRNA from 1 species